CCCAGACUCCUACGGGAGGCAGCAGUGGGGGAUAUUGCACAAUGGGGGGAACCCUGAUGCAGCGACGCCGCGUGGGUGAAGAAGUAUUUCGGUAUGUAAAGCCCUAUCGGCAGGGAAGAAAUUGGACGGUACCUGACUAAGAAGCCCCGGCUAACUACGUGCCAGCAGCCGCGGUAAUACGUAGGGGGCAAGCGUUAUCCGGAUUCACUGGGUGGAAAGGGAGCGUAGACGGCCAUGCAAGCCUGGAGUGAAAGCCCGGGGCCCAACCCCGGGACUGCUCUGGGAACUGUGCGGCUGGAGUGCGGGAGGGGCAGGCGGAAUUCCUGGUGUAGCGGUGAAAUGCGUAGAUAUCAGGAGGAACACCGGCGGCGAAGGCGGCCUGCUGGACCGCGACUGACGUUGAGGCUCGAAAGCGUGGGGAGCAAACAGGAUUAGAUACCCGGGUAC
rnacentral:rRNA from 1 species